ensembl:lncRNA
CUCCACACCACUAGAGGGAUAUCUUCAACCACCAACUUACCAUCCUGAGAGAAGGCCGAGUACAGCCCACAAAGAUCUCCGCCAUGGCACAACCCAACGGGGGGCGCCAACCCAGACAGGAAGAUCACAUCAGUGACUCAACCCACUCAAGUGACGCACCCCUCCUAGAGACGGCAUGAAAGAGCACCACAUGCGUGUGAUCCUUCAACUGGUGGCCAUGGCAACCCACAGAGGUCAGAGAGGUCAGCAGGCCAACACAGGAGCGGUAGCGGUGACUAUGACAAGUACAGCGACUACAGCGAAGACAAGUAUAACUAUUAUGACGAGGAGGAGAUGUGGCAGGUGAAAGACUCUACUUCUCUCAGCCAAGGCCUGGGCAGGGUACACAGUUCCAAGAACCAGAUGAAGAGGGGUGGCAUGAAGGUCAUGUAGAAACAACAACAGUGUAUGUAUGGACUGUAUGGAUUUCGUGUUGAAGGGUCUUGUCGAAUGGUAUUCAAGUUUGUCGAGGUUAACAGUCUAGUGGCUAUAGUAG